rnacentral:tRNA from 1 species
UCUAAAUAGUUUACAAAAAUAUUAAUAUGUGAAAUUAAAGAUAACUUUAAAAAAGUUUUUAGAUUA